CUGGAGUGAUGGAGGUAGAUAUAUAUGUAUAGGUGACAGGGAUACUGGUGUGAUGGAGGUAGAUAUGUAUAGGGGUAAGGAGACAGGGAUACUGGUGUGAUGGAGGUAGAUAUGUAUAGGUGACAGGGAUACUGGAGUGAUGGAGGUAGAUAUGUAUAGGGGUAAGGAGACAGGGAUACUGGAGUGAUGGAGGUAGAUAUGUAUAGGUGACAGGGAUACUGGAGUGAUGGAGGUAGAUAUGUAUAGGGGUAAGGUGACAGGGAUACUGGAGUGAUGGAGGUAGAUAUGUAUAGGUGACAGGGAUACUGGAGUGAUGGAGGUAGAUAUGUAUAGGGGUAAGGUGACAGGGAUACUGGAGUGAUGGAGGUAGAUAUGUAUAGGGGUAAGGUGACAGGGAUACUGGAGUGAUGGAGGUAGAUAUGUAUAGGGGUAAGGUGACAGGGAUACUGGAGUGAUGGAGGUAGAUAUGUAUAGGGGUAAGGAGACAGGGAUACUGAAGUGAUGGAGGUAGAUAUGUAUAGGGGUAAGGUGACAGGGAUACUGGAGUGAUGGAGGUAGAUAUGUAUAGGGGUAAGGAGACAGGGAUACUGGAGUGAUGGAGGUAGAUAUGUAUAGGGGUAAGGUGACAGGGAUACUGGUGUGAUGGAGGUAGAUAUGUAUAGGGGUAAGGAGACAGGGAUACUGGAGUGAUGGAGGUAGAUAUGUAUAGGGGUAAGGUGACAGGGAUACUGGAGUGAUGGAGGUAGAUAUGUAUAGGUGACAGGGAUACUGGAGUGAUGGAGGUAGAUAUGUAUAGGGGUAAGGAGACAGGGAUACUGGAGUGAUGGAGGUAGAUAUGUAUAGGGGUAAGGUGACUCGGCAUCAGGAUAUAAGAUAAACAGAGUAGCAGCAGCUUGUAUGUGAAUUGGUGUGUGUGUGUGUAGAGUCAGUAUACAGAGCCUUCGGAAGGUUCUCAGACCCCUUGACUUGUUCCACAUUUUGUCACGUUACAGCCUCAUUCUAAAAUUGAUUAAAUAGUUUUUCUCCCCCUCAUCAAUCUACACACAUGCUUGUGAGUAAGCAUUUCACUGUAAGGUCUACUACACCUGUUGUAUUCAGCAUUUCAC